rnacentral:rRNA from 1 species
UACGAAGGGGGCGAGCGUUGUUCGGAUUUACUGGGCGUAAAGGGCGCGCAGGCGGUUCUGUUUGUCGAGUGUGAAAGCCCCGGGCUCAACCUGGGAACGGCGCUCGAAACGGCGGGACUAGAGAUCGGGAGAGGAGCGUGGAAUUCCCAGUGUAGAGGUGAAAUUCGUAGAUAUUGGGAAGAACACCGGUGGCGAAGGCGGCGCUCUGGACCGAGACUGACGCUGAGGCGCGAAAGCGUGGGGAGCAAACAGG